rnacentral:rRNA from 1 species
GAUGAACGCUAGCGGCAGGCCUAAUACAUGCAAGUCGAACGAGAUUAAGAGGCUUGCUUCUUAUGAAAGUGGCGCACGGGUGCGUAACGCGUAUGCAACCUACCUUAAUCAGGGGGAUAGCCCGAAGAAAUUCGGAUUAAGACCGCAUAAAAACACAGGAUAGCAUUAUCCAAUGUUCAAAUAUUUAUAGGAUUAAGAUGGGCAUGCGUGUCAUUAGCUAGUUGGCGGGGUAACGGCCCACCAAGGCGACGAUGACUAGGGGAUCUGAGAGGAUGACCCCCCACACUGGUACUGAGACACGGACCAGAAUCCUACGGGAGGCAGCAGUAAGGGAUAUUGGUCAAUGGAGGGAACUCUGAACCAGCCAUGCCGCGUGCAGGAAGACAGCCCUCUGGGUCGUAAACUGCUUUUAUUCGGGAAUAAACCUUUAUACGUGUAGGAAGCUGAAUGUACCGAAGGAAUAAGGAUCGGCUAACUCCGUG